ACUCUCUAUAUAAAUCAAAAGUUCAGAUUUUCUCUCAUAACUAUACAAUCCUCACCAACACAAAAACUAACUUCUCUCAAAAACUCUAAAAAUCAAACUCUUCUCUCUUCCCUCCAAAACCAAAACCCCAAACCACCACAACAACCCCCUUCUCGCCGGAACUCCUCCGUCACCGACUUAGCCACCAUCGCUCCCCCUUCCUCAAUCGCGAUUCCCUCCACUCUCGGCUUCCUCCUCCCCCGCGGUCUCCCUCCAUGCGAUGCUCUCCUUGCAGUCUCCCUCCCUCCACGCGAUGCUCUGCCUCGCCGUACACCCUCCGUCGUGCAGCGCUCCCCGUUCGGCACAGUCCUCCUUCCGGCCAGUCAUUUUGUCACCGUCACUUCCUCCAACUUCUUCUUCCUCCAAGGUUUUAGCUUGCGGCACAUUCUAUGUUCCUUACACUCGUUGAGCUUGCUAUUACGAAUUUGCUAUCCGUUUGGUAUAUUUUUGGACCAAUUUCUGUAA